rnacentral:lncRNA from 1 species
GUGGUGGAGAACCGCCGGAGGCGCGGUUGGUUGUUUUGACGGAAGUGAAAAUGAGGUGUUAGUGUGGUGAAAGGGUGGAAGAUGAUGGAGUAUUUGAAGAAGAAGAAUGGUAAUGGUUAAGGGUGAGGCGCUCAGGGAAAGACCCAGAGGCUUCUUCUCUUUUUCCGUUUUUAAUCCUUUUCUUUAUUUUUUUUGAGAGAGAGAGUAAGUUAGUGUCUGUUGGUCCCCUUUGUGAAGUGAGCAGAGAGAGUAAAAUAUAACAAUCUCCAACGGACAAAACCUUAUUCUUUUCUUUUUUUAUUUUCGCUGGGAGAGACUGAUGGAGUGGGUAGGUGGUGAUGGAAAUGAGGGUAACGUGUGAGAGAGAGUAUUGUGGAAGAGAGGAAACGUGAGGUGUCUUAAUUUUAUUUUAUUUUUCUUUUUUAUUAAUA